rnacentral:rRNA from 1 species
GAUGAACGCUGGCGGCGUGCCUAAUACAUGCAAGUCGAGCGAACAGACGAGGAGCUUGCUCCUUCGACGUUAGCGGCGGACGGGUGAGUAACACGUAGGUAACCUACCUAUAAGACUGGGAUAACUUCGGGAAACCGGAGCUAAUACCGGAUAAUAUUUCGAACCGCAUGGUUCGAUAGUGAAGAUGGCUUUGCUAUCACUUAUAGAUGGACCUGCGCCGUAUUAGCUAGUUGGUAAGGUAACGGCUUACCAAGGCAACGAUACGUAGCCGACCUGAGAGGGUGAUCGGCCACACUGGAACUGAGACACGGUCCAGACUCCUACGGGAGGCAGCAGUAGGGAAUCUUCCGCAAUGGGCGAAAGCCUGACGGAGCAACGCCGCGUGAGUGAUGAAGGUCUUCGGAUCGUAAAACUCUGUUAUUAGGGAAGAACAAACGUGUAAGUAACUGUGCACGUCUUGACGGUACCUAAUCAGAAAGCCACGGCUAACUACGUG